rnacentral:rRNA from 1 species
CGGUACAUCGGUGACAGGUGGUGCAUGGUUGCGUCAGGCUCGUGUCGUGAGAUGUUGGGUUAAGUCCCGCAACGAGCGCAACCCCUAUUGUUAGUUGCCAUCAUUCAGUUGGGCACUCUAGCGAGACUGCCGGUAAUAAACCGGAGGAAGUGGGGAUGACGUCAAAUCAUCAUGCCCCUUAUGACCUGGGCUACACACGUGCUACAAUGGUUGGUACAACGAGUUGCGAGUCGGUGACGGCGAGCUAAUCUCUUAAAGCCAAUCUCAGUUCGGAUUGUAGGCUGCAACUCGCCUACAUGAAGUCGGAAUCGCUAGUAAUCGCGGAUCAGCACGCCGCGGUGAAUACGUUCCCGGGCCUU